GAGAAUGAGAAAGAAAAAGAAAAAGAGAUCGAGAAAGAGGGGGAGGAAGAGACAAUUACUGUCUUAAAUGAUGUUGUUUCCCCUCUUCACCUUCACCUUCUUCCCCGCCCUCCUCUGUUCCCUUCUUAUUCUAUCUCCCUUCUUCCUUCUGUUUCUUUUGUU
rnacentral:ribozyme from 1 species